rnacentral:lncRNA from 1 species
GCAGAGCCCUCUGCCCAUUGAAACGUUCUCUCUCUAGUUUUCUGUCUUAUCCCCAUGUCUCUCCUAGCUUCUGUUGCUUCCAAGCACAUAGACUCAAGUCCCUACCUGUGGAUAUCAUGAUCAUUGGGAUAUUUUACCACUCCACGUAGUCAUUUUGUGAAGCAAAGCUCACAGCUCAUGCCUGUGGGUUCCAGUGUCCCUAUUUCUUCCAGGUGUCCUGCUCUUGAUGGUCUCCUCACUGGAAGGUCAUCGUCUGCACAGUCCCAGCUGAGUUCUAGCCAGUGGGAGCCAGUGAGAAGGGUGGAUAAAUUGUGUGCCAAGUCUUUAAUACGUAGAUAGGUAAGUGGCACCUUUCCUCUCUCAUUCCACUGGGAACUUACCUGCAAGGACACCAGGGAGAUG